rnacentral:lncRNA from 1 species
GUCUCAGCAGGACGUGUGAGAGCAGAUUCUUCUCUGUGUCCUCAAACCUCCAAAACCAGGGGACGUGGAGGAACCAGGAGAGCGGAAUUAGCAUCAAAAUACAAACAGCACCAGGCCCAGCCACAACACACACCUGCCUCUGGGAUGGUGUCUGCAGGAAGAACUGCUCCUCUGUUACAGGAAUGGAAGAGCCUUCAAAGGGUCAUGAAGAGAGGUUGUUCAUGGGUCUCUACAUCCCAGGCAAAGAUGAACUCCUGGCCUUUUCGUGGAAGCACAAGGACAGUCUCAGGUAUCUUCUGGGCUAGAGAAGAAAACUUCUUACCCUCCUUGAUCAGCCAGGCCCCUUGAAAGGUGGGCUUCCUUGAUGGAUGAAUUCACCAGAGCUUGCUGCAUCAUUGUCUGUAACCCUGGUGACAGUUCACAUUGCUGCUAGCCAUGGAGGAGGAGGAGGACCCCC